GCUGGGCAUGGUGGUGCAUGCCUGUCAUCCCAGCAACAUGGGAGGCUGAGGCAGGAGGAGCGUGCAUUCAAAGUCAGCCUCAG
rnacentral:sRNA from 1 species